rnacentral:rRNA from 1 species
CUACGGGGUGCAGCAGUGAGGAAUAUUGCACAAUGGGGGGAACCCUGAUGCAGCAACGCCGCGUGGAGGAUGACGCAUUUCGGUGUGUAAACUCCUUUUAUAUGUCAAGAAAAUAACGGUAGCAUAUGAAUAAGCACCGGCUAACUCCGUGCCAGCAGCCGCGGUAAUACGGAGGGUGCAAGCGUUACUCGGAAUCACUGGGCGUAAAGGACGCGUAGGCGGGUUGGAAAGUCAGGUGUGAAAUCCUACAGCUUAACUGUAGAACUGCACUUGAAACUUCUAAUCUAGAGUAUGGGAGGGGGAGAUGGAACUAGUGGUGUAGGGGUAAAAUCCGUAGAUAUCACUAGGAAUACCUAAAGCGAAGGCGAUCUCCUGGAACAUUACUGACGCUAAGGCGUGAAAGCGUGGGGAGCAAACAGGAUUAGAUACCCGCGUAGUC